AGUGCUUCGAACAAAGCUCAAGGGUUUGGAUGUCUAUUGUGGAACAUUUGGAUUGUUCUCCACCGAUAGACAUAAAAUUUAAGACCCUGCGAACGUUUACUGUUUCGAUUGCUUGCAAUGGCCAAAAGCAGUUUUGUUAAGUGCUGAUUAGGAAUUCGAACCAUUUUAUCUCUACUUAUAAAGAUUGUCAAUCAAAACACAAUCUCAGGUGCUACUAAACCAGAAAUACAAAAAUAUUACUUAAUAUAAAAGUCCGUAUAUAUAUAUGGAAAUUUCUUGGAAGUAUAUUAUGACAUGCCUUUUAAAUAAUUGCAAAAAUAUCCAAUGGCAAGGAAUUCAAAUGCCAUUACAAAAUUUUAAUUUUUAAUAUUUCAUUGUAGUUUUCACCAAAUUUUUAUCUCAAUAAUCGUUAGUUACAUUUAGACAUGUCUUAGUAAGCAUUUAAGGGGCUUUUAUUUCGCAACACCUGAAUCAUUUUCUAUAGAGACAAUGCGUUUUAAUGCCUCUUGCUGGCUCUUGUAUACAAUUUCCUGACUUUAUUUAUUCAGCAUUCCUGAUUGUUUUUUGCCUUUCCUGCUUCAUUUCCUGUGCUUCACAUUCACAAUGAUGCAAAGUGGCUGCCACUAACGCUCUGGCAUUAUCCCGAAGUGUGUAAUUACGUAUGCUGAUGGGCGGUGGGCGACUGCCAUGCCCUUUCGCAUAGUUUCUGUCUAGUUGCAGUGCAUAAAUUAUGUUAGGCCAAAGUGCAAGCAGAGUUAUGUAGACGGACUAGGUUUGCUCGAAAGAUUAACGCCUUCGUUUUGUUUUUAAUGCGGCAUGGCACUCACAUCGGAUGCCACACCCACUCGUCCUUAUGCUGAUGCUUAUGCCACUAAGCCGUCUGCGAGUAGCAGGAAAAAUAAACUGCAACGGAAGCUGCACCUCAUCGUCGGGCCUUCCCCACCAACUUCCCAACGACUGUGUCAGUUUUGGGGGACUGUUUCAUGCGGCCACUUCAGUGCCAACUACAGCGACAAUAAUACGGCCAAAGCAGCAUUCAAAACACUGACAGAAAUAGCGCGGUCAUUCACAAAAAUUCAUUCACUUUUGCAAACUUCUAAUUUCAUAAUUAAAAUUACUUAAAAAAAAGAUAUUUACUCGAAUGUUUUAUUCUGUCGUAAAGGGCUUGCCUGAGUCAGCGUGAAGUUUUAUUAUAUUAUUAAAUCUUUGAUUUUAACAAUUAUUAAUUUAAUGCAUUUUUCCCAGUGCCAUAAGCGCCGGAUAAGGUGCGAAAACGAGUCGGGUGUAUGUGUGUCUCUUAAUGAUAAUGAUGACAGUCUGUCGCUGGCUGUGCUGCACUUGCUCUUUAUGCUGACUCUGUAGGACUCUCGGCGCGCUAGUUAAAGUUUUAAUUUGGCAUAUUAUAGUGGCUGGAGUGGCACAGCAGGCGCUCGUUAAAUAUGCCCACAGAACACAUGGAAUUAGAGCCACAAAAGCUACGUAAAAAAAGGAACCACCGUCAGAGACAGCGACUUAUGGCAUUGAACUUAGCCAAAGGAAAGGGUCCUUGGGAGCUGAGAUUCUUGGCCACAAGUGUGUGUAUCGACAUGCUCGAGUGGCUCAAAAUGAAUGGUUGGAGUGGUUGGCGCUAAAGCUGCUGAAAUGCCGCUGGCUGCAGAUGGCAUUUUAUAGUGAUAAUUUCAACUAACUAAUUGUGGUGUCAUAGAAUUCCAGAGACCUUUAAUAACGUUUGCAUCUCAUAAAAAAGUCGAUUUUCUCGUUGCUCAGCUUAUGCGAAAGUUUAAAUAGAAAUAGGCAAGAGAAGUAUUCUUUUACUAACUUUAUAAGAUCUCUAUGUGCACCCUCUUAACCACCUUAACUGUAUAUGUACAUAUUUCCAUUGCGAUAAGAUAUUUUUAGCAUGUAAGUGUUUGCUAAUUUUGCUUUAACUUUAUCAGCUAUACAAUUAACAAGGGGUUUUUCCAAAUAUUAGGUUGAGGUAAUUAUAAUUAGCCUUAAUUGAGUGCAUCGAGUACAAUAUAUAUGUAGAUAAAUUUGUUUGUCACGACAAACCAAUCAAUUUAAAUUGUGAUUCCCAUCCGAAAGCGUCUUACUCAUUUGGGUUGUUAACGUUUGUUUAAUUUUAUUGAUAGAGCAAUAAAAGCGGCAAAACUUCCCCGGUAGCUCUAGACAGAGAUUUUGGCAACAUCAAACUCCACGUCCAGUGUGGCUAUUAAUGUUCUUGCGGCUUUUGAGCAUUUCAAUUCGUCCCGUUACUUGCUUUAAGCCAUUUAGCAAAUUAUUCGCAACGUGCCUCAACCCUGGAAUGUAAAACUAGAAGAGAAGGAAAAAGCAGCGGAGCUGAGACGAGAGCAGACAGCCAUCGAAGUUGAAUGGAAAUUUUUUGGCAAAGCAUUUUCAAUUCAAUCAAACACCCCACACAUGCUGGCAUUUAAAUAAAAAUAAACAAGGCAAAGGAAUACUUCGAAACACUUUUAAGCAUCAUUACAUUAGCAAAUUUCACCGAUUUCGGGGUAUAGGAUGGUUUCGAUUGAGACGAUGGAUGCGAAAAGUCGAUAAAAGGACUUGUGUUCAUGUGUGUAUGCGUUAGAGGCGGAACGGGCGUGGCAGGGGCAAUAAGAAAGCACACAUGGCCCACACGAACGCGAAGUUCGCUUACUUCCGUUUCCGUUUUUCGGCAUUUUCUAAUUUCCAUUCGCCCCAUAGUCGUGGGAAAUGUAAUUAUGGCCAUAGAAGAACCCGCAGAACCCUCUGACGUGAGCUGUUGGCCAGCUGUUGGUAGGUUUGGUGUAAUUGUCGUUAUAAUAAAUAACUUCAACUGUCCGACACUUGACACUUGACAUCAGCUGCAGCGGAAGCGGCAACAGGAGCCGCAAAAAGAAAAUCCCCACCCCGUUCUGCAUUUCCUUCAUAUGGGUGCAUGCAAAGUGCCAGAAAAACAUUUACCAUUGCCGCAUAUUUCAAAUGCGGACACAUGUAAAAAUGCUGAAGCGCUGAUAAGGACAUUAACAUUUGGCCAAACACAUAGACAUGGCGGAAAGCCAGGCAUGGGGGUUUUUGGGGGAAAACUUCCUUCCGCAUAUGCGAAACAUCAAAAAAAAAAAAAAUUAAGCGGAAAACCUUCACCUCGUCGCUUUUGACACGCAAAUUUAUAACGGCAACAGUGGCAAACAAAAACUUGCUAUGGCCAAAACACACAAGCGCCCAGACCCUCAAAAAUAAAGAAGGGAAAGGCACAAAUUUUUGAACGCAUACAAAUGCAAUUUAAAUUUACUUAUUUAGAACCCCUGGGAAUUUCAAAUUAUUUGCCUUUUCACGCAAAUUUAGCGACCAUUUUUCUCACAGAAAUAGAACUCAGACAGGUGGGUCGUCGUCGGGCCGGAGUUUUCAUAGUUGGGGAUAUUAAGCCAACCCCCUGACAUGUGUACACGGGCUGAUUCUUGGGCGUAACUUUUUCCAACUCUCAUUCUUUUUUUUUUACUUUCCAUGGGGGCGAUUAGAAAAUGCUUCACCCCACCGAAGAAAGUAACCCAAAAGUCUCUGACAAAUGCUCUUUGGCCAGCAUGUUGUUGUUGCUGCUGUGUUCUGUGGUGAUUAAUGACGUCGAAAGCUGAGCAGGAUCUGCUCUGCGGGGAUGCCGUGGCAGCUUAAUUUAAAAUGAAAAUUGUACUUAAUUUCUAGCUGAAAUUUGGCGGCAUUGGACGGGGGGCUUGUAGACUGAUUAUGCUCUUCAUGGUUUUGCCUUGUGCUCUAUAGGGAUAGCCAUCCAUAGCUCAGCUCUGGUUCGUUAGAAAUAAGCUUGAACAAAUAUUACAUUUUUGCCUUGUUAAUGAUUCGAAAGUUGAAAAAGAAUGUACAAAUUUUGAGAAAUUAAUCCUGUUUGUCUAGAUAUUUAAAUGGUCACAUAAGGGAGCACCUUUAACCUUUUGUAGAAAAGCAUCACUUUUAUUUGCAUUUUACGUAUUUAACUCAAAUACCUAAUACGUUCGAAUGUAAUUUCUUUUAAUUAAACCUUUAUAAAAUUCCUGACUUAAUACAAAGCUUACGUCCAAAACAAAGCCAACAAAAAACUAAUUGCCACCUGUUAACAUUCCUAAAAUGCUUUUACUCUCCUUCAAAAUCAUUAUUUUUAUAAAGUUUUCAGAUUAAAUUGCCAGGUUUUUUUCUUACAUCCAACAAACAAUCUUUGCAUGUGUAACGCCAGAGUUUAUCACUCAAGUCGGCUGUCCCCACCACAAGCAAAUUGAAUUAAGAUUACCACACAAGGAUUUCAAAGCAUUUGCGGAGAAGUCAAACAAGCUUUAGUUUAUUAUUAUUAUUGCGUCAGAGCGAAAAGUUUUCAGCCACUGGUUGGUCAGGGGGCGGAUGUUGGGAUGGUGGAGGGGGCUGUGGUGUCUGCGUGUGCGUUGGAAAAUUUUCAAUCGCAAUCUUAUGGUUUAUUUCUUUAGCGCCAAAGCUACUUUAUUUUGACAGCAGACAAACAAAUGUCAGAAUUGAAAUUAAAAGGAAGGCAGCGACAGCAGAAGAAGUCAGUGGAAAACUUGUGAAAAACACGCCCGACUCAAAGAUGUAGACGAAGGUUUUUGCGAGGGAGAAGGGAUGUCUUGGCCACAGUACGCAGUCCCAAUCAGAAACUCCGGAUCCCGGCCACGACUUUGGAUCCGACUCCGACUCCGGCUCGAUUCCAUCAGCCUCAGUCUGAGUCUCAGCAUCAGCAUUACCACCCACACGCACUGACUUUCCUGCAUUCCCGCAUUUUCUUUUUGUACAUUUCACACAGCGUGAAAUUUUCUAAAUGUCAUUUUGCUGUCAUCUCGUGGAUAAUAAGAUUACAACUACGCUGAAAUAAUAGGAUUCAAAUGAAAAAACUUUGCCGUCGUCGUCUGUCUCCUUGCGCUUCUCAACUUUCAAUACGCGCUUGGCCACACCUCUCCGCCCAGAUACAUAGAUAUAUAUCUGAAUCAGAAUCCGACUGGGGCGUU
ensembl:ncRNA lncRNA:CR44506 long non-coding RNA:CR44506